rnacentral:rRNA from 1 species
AACGCGAAGAACCUUACCUGGUCUUGACAUCCUGGGAAUCCCGUAGAGAUAUGGGAGUGCCGCAAGGAACCCAGAGACAGGUGCUGCAUGGCUGUCGUCAGCUCGUGUCGUGAGAUGUUGGGUUAAGUCCCGCAACGAGCGCAACCCUUGUCCUUAGUUGCCAUCAUUAAGUUGGGAACUCUAAAGAGACCGCCGGUGACAAACCGGAGGAAGGUGGGGAUGACGUCAAGUCAUCAUGGCCUUUAUGACCAGGGCUACACACGUGCUACAAUGGCGGAGACAGAGGGAAGCCAACUCGCGAGAGGGAGCUAAUCCCAUAAAACCUAUCGUACUCCGGAUUGGAGUCUGCAACUCGACUCCAUGAAGUGGGAAUAGCGCGUAAUCGCAGAUCAGCAUUGCUGCGGUGAAUACGUUCCCGGGUCUUGUACACAC